rnacentral:rRNA from 1 species
UACGUAGGGUGCAAGCGUUAAUCGGAAUACUGGGCGUAAAGCGUGCGCAGGCGGUGAUGUAAGACAGUUGUGAAAUCCCCGGGCUCAACCUGGGAACUGCAUCCGAUACUGGAUGGCUUGAAUUCGGGAGAGGGAUGCAGAAUUCCAGGUGUAGCGGUGAAAUGCGUAGAUAUCUGGAGGAAUACCGGUGGCGAAGGCGGCAUCCUGGACCGACAUUGACGCUGAUGAGCGAAAGCUAGGGGAGCAAACGGG